UCCAAACGCUGACACCAUUGCAUACACUAGCAAGAUUUUAUCGAAAGGACCCAGAUGUAGCUAUCUCUUGUGAGACUAUGCCGGGGCCUAGCAAACACAGAAGUGGAUGCUCACAGUCAGCUAAUGGAUGGAUCACAGGGCUCCCAAUGGAGGAGCUAGAGAAAGUACCCAAGGAGCUAAAGGGAUCUGCAACCCUAUAGGUGGAACAACAUAAUGACCUAACCAGUAUCCCGGAGCUCUUGACUCUAGCUGCAUAUGUAUCAAAAGAUGGCCUAGUCGGCCAUCACUGGAAAGAGAGGCCCAUUGGACACGCAAACUUUAUAUGCCCCAGUACAGGGGAACACCAGGGCCAAAAAGGGGGAGUGGGUGGGUAGGGGAGUGGAGGUGGGUGGGUAUGGGGGACUUUUGGUAUAGCAUUGGAAAUGUAAAUGAGCUAAAUACCUAAUAAAAAAAUGGAAAAAAAAUUAAAAAAAAGAAAUAUAGAAUGGAGAUAAAUUGCUGAAUUUUAUAGUAUGUAGUAAUAUGAAAACAUUACUUACAUACCUGAUAAACAUUCAAUGAAACACUUCUUAGAUUUCUAGUUUGAAACCCUUUCCGCAUUUUACGGCACUUGCUUCAUGUUGUCUAACCACUUGCUUUAUAAGUAAAUGUGAAGCGAUUCGGUCCUCUCUUACUUAGGGGUGUGGGGGAAAUACAGUCACUUGGGUCCUUAUGUGGUAUAAACUCCAUUCAGUAACUUAGAAGCUGCUAUUAAUUUAUCCCAUCACUUACUCAUGUUGCUCUUAUACUCCUGCAUAACACACUGACAUUCAUGUUAUACUGGCCAUUAAACUCAUGUGUAUGGCCUUUGUCUUUAACAGUUUCUACAUACUGACUACAACCUUAUUCUAUCUCUUCUCCAUUCGACUUCACUGAUGCUGACACACUUCUCAGUGAUAAAGUUUUCUUCACUUUGCAUCCCUUUUAUUUAUGGCUAUAUUCUUAUCCUAAAAUAUCAGCCUAUCAUCUCUGUUUACUACACAAAUAAGCACCUUUUCACACCUUAGAAACCUAUCGCUUCUACCUUACCCAUAUUGAACACCUUUGGGAUUCAUUGUUACCUUUCAGGCAAAACCCUAAAGAACAUUGAAAUUUUCAUUGAACUUCAUUAUUUAUUCCAACUUAGGCUAUUCUCUUCUUUAAUUUAUUUAAAUAUUUUGAGAAUUUUAUGUAUGAGUACCAUAUAUGACUCUAUAUGGCUCCCAUCCUCUCCUCCUCCAGUACCUCCUAUGUCUCCCUUAUUCCUCAAACCCAUGAUCACUUAUUAUUAAAUAUAUGUUUAAAUACAAUCUGUCUAUUUCAUCUAGUGUUUCUAUAUAUACAUUUAGGGCUAACCUCUUGAAAUUGAAAUUUAACAACCUGUCAAAGGGCUUGUCCUUUGAGAAAAGAGGUUUUUCCUUUCUGGGCAAGUAUCAAUAUUCUGUAGUUCCAUCUUGGGCUGGGACCUUAUAAGAUUUCUCUAAUCUAUGCUGACAUGACGAUUGGCAGUAUCAUUUUUCAGGUCUUUGAGCUUGUUUCCUGGAUGUGGCUUUCCUGUCAUAUAUAGAAAAUACUAUAUUACAGUGUACAUCUUCCCUUUCUGGCUCUUAACAAUCUUUCUACCUUUUUUUCUUCCAUAUUCCCUGAACCUAAGUUGUAGAGUGGGUUGUACAUCUAUCAUUUGGGGCUGUACACCCCAUGGUUAGUUGUUCUCUGGAUUUUGACCAGUUCUGGAUUUCUGUAAUGCUACAUUAAAUUGGACAUUACUUGAGAGAAUAAAAAUGCACUGCCUUGUGCAGACUUUUAUAUCUACCACAAAACAUUCCAUGGUAAAAAAGUAUAUUCUAUCAAUGCCUUUUGAAGUAAACUCAAUGAGAUAUAAGUAGCAAACAAAGGCAUACUGGGUUCCAUAUUCAUGACAUUUUCUAAUCAGUUUCUCUAAAAUUCUUUGGCUUAAAUUAAACAAGAUACCCCCACCUCCUUGGUAUACUACCUCCUUAUUUAAAGUUAUGACUAUAGAAGUACAGUUGCAUUCAAUUCUAUUAUAAUUAUUAUUUUAUUGAAAAUUAUGGUGCUUGAGGAAUUUUUGUGUCUAUACAAGACAAGGAUGAUAUUUAUUAAUGGCAGGAGAAAUGAUCACCACUUAUACUUGUUGCUGUAGAUUAGGUGCAGAUCAGAGCAUCAUGUCCAGGCAGUGGUGCCUCUAAUUUAAUUCCUCAAAUGUUAUACAGCAUUCCAGGUAUACUGCUUUUCUGAGACAGUCAAGAGGUUAUGAAUCAAAUCUGCUAAUAUAGUUCUUUGCAUGUACAGGCACGUUUUUGGCUGCAGAGUGAGAAUCAGUGCAAAUGAAUCUAUUGAUCUUUUUCAAAAUUCGACUACAAACCAAUUUAGAAUCAGAUUUAUUAGAUGUCAAGAGGAGGAAUCCUGACAAUAUCAAUGACAUAACAAGGUCACUGUCAAGGAUUAGGAAGAUAUGAUGAGACUUUUUUUCUCUUUAAAUUGUUCUUGAAUCACAAUAAUUUGGUUGUCCAUAAACGUACAAGUAACAUUAAUAUUUAAGCCUCUGAAUGGCCUCUAAGUUCUUUCCAUAUCACACAGUCUGACAGGUGUAUUAUAAAAGAAUCCUAAUGAGGCUGUUCUUCAACCUUUUUUGUUUAGAGGUGCUCCUUGCAUUCUCAGCUAUAACAUGUCCCACUAACUUCUCUACCUUUUUUAAAACAAAGCCUCAUGUUAACCAUUUCUUCUUAGAAAACAUAAGAGCAGGAAGAAACAAAUUUUUCCUACAUUGUUAUUUGUAAAUCCAGUUCCUUAAGUUUUACAAAAAACAAAGUUGGUUGUUUCUAUUCCUGCAAAAACAUCAUGACCAAGAAGCAAUUGGGAAGGAAAGGGUUUAUUCGGCUUACACUUCCAUAUUGCUGUUAAUCACCAAGGAUGUCAGGACUGGAAUUCAAGCAGGUCAGAAAACAGGAGCUGAUGCAGAGGCCAUCGAGGGAUGUUAUUUACUGGCUUGCCUCCACUGGCUUGCUCAGCCUGCUCUCUUAUAGAACCCAAGACUACUAGCCCAGAGAUGGUCCCACCCACAAGGGGCCCUUCCCCCUUGAUCACUAAUUGAGAAAAUGCCCCACAGGUGGAUCUUAUGGAGGCAUUUCCUCAACUGAAGAUCCUUUCUCUGUGAUAACUUCAGCCUGUGUCAAGUUGACACACAAAAGCAGCCAGUACAGUUGUUUAUCUGACCUAAUGCUCUGAACUGGCCUUUGUUGUGGAUGUCAAUCCUGUGGUCUGCUUUGUAUAGAGAAACAGCAAGUCUUAAUUAUUUGUAUCUUAAUCAUUUCAACACCAAUCCUGUGGUCUGCUUUGUAUAGAGAAACAGCAAGUCUUAAUUAUUUGUAUCUUAAUCAUUUCAACACCAAUGCAUUGUCCUUCCUUCGAGUUUACUAGAUAAAUCUUAGAACAAAAAAGCAAUGAUUUUUCUUACUGUUGGUUUACCUCAAGUUGAUAUGUUAAAGAUUUCCAUGAGACACACAUUCAAAACAGUGUUUUCCAGACACACACAACAGGACAGAUGCUUAUAGGAACUAACAGAAACUGUGGCAGCUCACAUGAAUCCUACAUAGGUUCAGGCCAGACAGGGUCCAAGAACUGAGAGUGAAAAGUUCUCAUCACUAACCAAGAAGCCAUCUGUGAUUGAUACCUUUUUUAAAGGAAAAAUUAGUAUUUUAUGAAAAAUCUUACUGUGUACACUAAUCACACUUCAAGGCAGGCCUCACACCCAGGGAUAGCUAUCUAAUGCAAAAUAAAAUCAGUGAUAUUUUUGUAGACCUUUUGCCUCAUACUGUUUUGUUAAGGUAUUUUUGUCCUAUUGGUCUUUUGCGUCUAUAUUUUGUUUUCCAUGUUGCUGUGUGUGUGUGUGUGUGUGUGUGUGUGUAUGUGUACUGUUCUAUUAUUUUCCUUUAGUCAUAUUUGUAUUUACUUUUAAAGAGACAGAAAGAUGUGGUGUGGAGUGGAAUGGGUGGAAACAUGGAAAGGAUCUGGGAGAAAUUUGGCAAAGGAGAAAUGUGAUAAGAAUAUAUUUGUGAAAAUGUAAUUAAAAAUAAAGACUGAUAAAAUGAAUAAAUGCACCUAAAUAGAUGAAGAUGAAAGUUUAAAAAAUAACUAUAUAGAAUUACUAUUUGAACAUCUUUGUUUUCAUGAAAAAUCAGCUCUAAAUAUAUCAGCUGUUUUAGGUACAUUAAGUAUAUUUCUUUUUGUCAACUUAACAUCUACAAUAAAAAUCCUUUGGGGCUUGGAUGUAGUUGACUUGGAAGAGCACCUACCUUGAAUUCAUGGAGCUUGUGUUGGUAACCCCAGAACCACAGAAACAUGCAUUUGUUAACAUGUAGCAGAAGUCCUAGCACUAAGGAGGUGUCAGCUAAAUUAUCAGAUGUUCAAGGUAAUCUUCCUUCAGCAACCUGAUGAGUUCAAGGCUACAAGAGACCCUGUUC
rnacentral:lncRNA from 1 species